AAUACUGCCCUUCAACAGAGAAGUCGUACGACUUUAGAAAAGUGUGGCCAGGGUUUUCAUUCCAGAUCUUUCAUCACUGUCUUCAUCUUGCUUCAAGUCUUCAACUCCUUUCUUCCAUCUUUCUACUCCUCUAACCCCUGACACCGGGAGCUUCGAAGACCGUCUCUCAUCACCGUCGUCUAAACUCUGCGACGAAUGUAAAACAAACGAGUUCAAGUACAAAUGCCCCGGUUGCUCCGUACGGUCAUGUAGUCUCCCCUGUGUCAAAGCUCACAAGCAACGCACUGGAUGCACAGGCAAACGUCAACAGCUAACGGAGUUUGUUCCUCUUUCUAAAUUUGACGACAAUCUCCUUUUAUCUGGUAUAAACCGUAAAUCAAACCGAAACCGAAGACUGGUUUUGAGGUUUCAAACCGAACCGUAAACACCCCUAAUUUGUUGUAUCAAAAUUUCUUGACCUCUGUAUUUAACAUUUUAAAUCCAACUUAUUUGAUAAAGAAACGUAAAAACCGUGAUAGAGUGGGUUUGUGCUCGGUUAUUGCUAGAAUAAGCUGGACAAGAUCAUUGCAGAAACAAUCAUUGUAGGGGUAUGAUUUUUCUUUUUACUCUUAAGUGGAAUGCUCUUGCAACCUAUAGGUUUUAUAUAUGCCUAUAUACAAGAACAAGGGUUUGUUUGCAAACAAAUGUCAAGAUUGGCGUUAGGAAAGUAGAUUGUUUCUUUUUCAUUACUUUGUAGUUCAGCAGCUAUCUAAAUGCCAUUUGUAUUGAUGUUUGAGAUUCCAGAUGGGAUAUGGUAAUAGCCCGUUCAAAAUUUGCAACUAUAAUACUUUUGUUAGCGUUGUGGUACAAUACAUUACUUUAUCCCUUUGACAACCCAUAGUGAUUUCCCACAUCAACCAAAUGCCACCCGAGUAAAUGGCUCGACGAGGGUGAUGUACAUGGUACUAUACUCGAUGGUGAUGUUGUAUGCUGUGUUAGGUAGUAGAUAUAUAUAUAUAUAGAUGAACAAUUAUAAGACUUUGAACACGCCGCCGCAACGCGCGGCGGGUCAAAAACUAGUUUUGAUCAAAUUUAAUGUGUAGGAUAGUAAACUAGCCUAAAACUUAUUUGUAAUAUUUAGGAUAACCUUUGAUAUAUGAUAAUAACAUUUCUCUUAUUUGGGUUUUUAUCUAAACGUUGAACGUAUCUAGCACUUUUAUCAUUUUUGUUUUGCGCUAGUAUAACGAUGUAAUAUGCAACCUUAUUGUCUUGUAUCUAUUUUUGCUCACUUUGUUAAAAUAGAGUUGUCAAUAGUGAAGUGAUUAUUUCCCAUCUUUUUAUCUCAAGUUUUUUUUUUUUUCUGGACAAAUUGGAUCUCAACCAAGUUCUGGUGUGCUGUCAUGGUUGAAUCAUAAUGUUAAAAUAUAUCUAAAUUAUUAGUGUUAUAUCAUUGUAAAGACGCUAUAAACUUAAGUUCGAGUACGGUGUUUGUUUAACUAUCAAAACAUGUUUAAUGCAUUUUGUUGAAUGGAUAACAAUGGUAGAAUCAUGAGUUUGAUUAUGAUAGCAAAACUUCAUGCUCCUCCAA